UGCCACAGCCAUAUCACCCUGCAGCCCAAGACUGGUUGCCCACUGAAGCUAAGCAGGGUUGAGCCUGGUCAGUACCUGGAUGGGAGACCUCCUGGGAAAACUAGGUUGCUCUAGGGG
rnacentral:rRNA from 1 species